UACGUAGGUGGCGAGCGUUGUCCGGAAUUACUGGGUGUAAAGGGAGUGUAGGCGGGACGGUAAGUCAGGUGUGAAAUCUAUGGGCUCAACCCAUAGCGUGCACUUGAAACUACUGUUCUUGAGUGAAGUAGAGGCAAGCGGAAUUCCUAGUGUAGCGGUGAAAUGCGUAGAUAUUAGGAGGAACACCAGUGGCGAAGGCGGCUUGCUGGGCUUUUACUGACGCUGAGGCUCGAAAGCGUGGGGAGCAAACAGG
rnacentral:rRNA from 1 species